GGGGACACAGCUGGAACGGCUGCUAAUACCCGAUGUGCCGAGAGGUGAAAUCUAAUUGGCCUGAGGAUGAGCUCGCGUCUGAUUAGCUAGUUGGUAGGGUAAGAGCCUACCAAGGCGACGAUCAGUAGCUGGUCUGAGAGGAUGAUCAGCCACACUGGGACUGAGACACGGCCCAGACUCCUACGGGAGGCAGCAGUGGGGAAUUUUCCGCAAUGGGCGCAAGCCUGACGGAGCAAGACCGCGUGCGGGAUGAAGGUCUGUGGACUGUAAACCGCUUUUGAUAGGGAAGAACACAAUGACGGUACCUAUCGAAUCAGCCUCGGCUAACUCCGUGCCAGCAGCCGCGGUAAUACGGAGGAGGCAAGCGUUAUCCGGAAUUAUUGGGCGUAAAGCGUCCGUAGGUGGUGAUGCAAGUCUAUUGUCAAAGCAUGAGGCUUAACCUCAUACCGGCAGUGGAAACUGCAUUGCUAGAGUGCGAUAGGGGCAAGGGGAAUUCCCAGUGUAGCGGUGAAAUGCGUAGAUAUUGGGAAGAACAUCGGUGGCGAAAGCGCCUUGCUGGGUCUGCACUGACACUGAGGGACGAAAGCUAGGGGAGCGAAAGGGAUUAGA
rnacentral:rRNA from 1 species